AGUGAACGCUGGCGGUAGGCCUAACACAUGCCAGUCGAACGGCAGCACAAUAAGAGCUUGCUCUUACGGGUGGCGAGUGGCGGACGGGUGAGGAAUACAUCGGAAUCUACUUUUUCGUGGGGGAUAACGUAGGGAAACUUACGCUAAUACCGCAUACGACCUACGGGUGAAAGCAGGGGAUCUUCGGACCUUGCGCGAUUGAAUGAGCCGAUGUCGGAUUAGCUAGUUGGCGGGGUAAAGGCCCACCAAGGCGACGAUCCGUAGCUGGUCUGAGAGGAUGAUCAGCCACACUGGAACUGAGACACGGUCCAGACUCCUACGGGAGGCAGCAGUGGGGAAUAUUGGACAAUGGGCGCAAGCCUGAUCCAGCCCUACCGCGUGGGUGAAGAAGGCCUUCGGGUUGUAAAGCCCUUUUGUUGGGAAAGAAAAGCAGCAGGUUAAUACCCCGCUGUUCUGACGGUACCCAAAGAAUAAGCACCGGCUAACUUCGUG
rnacentral:rRNA from 1 species